UAUAAGUCCACAAAAGGCCCAAAAGAUAAGGCAAAGAAGAAGUGGAGAAGAAAGCAAAGCAGUGAGGCACGGCAUACUCAACAAAAUAAAAAAUAACGGUGCAAGUGAUCAACCUAGCGCAGAAUCUUAAUUAGCUUGGACUCCACAAAUUUGAAUUGUCAAAAAGAAGAAAAAACAAAAAAAAGGGGAAAAAAAAAGAAGUAAAAGAAAAAGAAAAGUUUUUCGGACUGCAAGCUAUGGACCAAAUUAAGAGGAUUGCUGAUUGUAUUGUAACAAUUGCGGAGUGCCCACUUAAACCAAUCAUCCACCAAGUGUGCUAUGUAGUUCAAUACAAAUCUAACAUAGAAGAUCUACAAACUCGAGUUGACAAGUUGAAUUCACUCACAGGCAGGGUGCAACAUUCUGUGGACAAAGGUGAGAGAACAAAUGAAAAAGCCGAAGACGAUGUCAAAAAGUGGAUUGAAAACGUUGGCAAGGUCAUUGAAAAGGCAAACAAAUUCUCUGAAGAGGCCAACGAAUUCGUUGAAGAAGAACACCAAGCAAACAAGAAGUGUCUCCAUGGGUUUUGUGCAAAUUUGAAGCCUCGUCAUCAACUAGGCCGGAAAUCGACAAAAAUAAAGGAAGAGGUUGUUAAGUUACACACAGAGGGCGAAAAAUACACCACCCAAGCAGUUUCAUACCCCCCUCCUCUUCAAGAGACAUGGAACACAUCUACCACAUCUGAGGCAUUUCAAUCAAGGAGUUCAAUUGUGGAUAGAAUCAUAAAAGAAUUGGCGAAACCUGACAUCAACAUUAUCGGAGUGUAUGGAUUGGGUGGUGUGGGGAAGACCACACUUGUCAAACAAGUUUCUGAUCUUGUUCAACAAAAACACUUCUUUGAUGAGGUGGCUAUGGCAACCGUCUCGGAGAACCCGGACCCCAAAAGAAUUCAAGGAGAAAUUGCUGACAAGUUGGAUUUGAAGUUUCAACAAGAGACCACAGCUGGAAGAGCUUUGAAUUUGAAAGAAAGGACAAGAAACAAGAAGAUUUUGAUAAUCUUAGAUGAUAUUUGGACAAAACUUGAUUUGGAGGUUGUGGGACUUGAACCUAUUGGGGGAUGUAAAAUCUUAGCGACCUCUAGAACUCGAGAAGCGUUAUCCGAAACGGGUACACGAAAUGAAUUUAAGCUUGAAGUUUUACAUGAGCGAGAAAGUUGGAUUUUAUUUGAGAAGAAGGCAGGGGAUGUAGUAAAAGAUCCAACUAUUAAAAACAUAGCUGUUGAAGUAGCCAAAAGAUGUUCAGGUUUGCCGGUUUUAAUCAUCUCGGUUGCAAGUUCUUUAAGAAGUAAAAAAAAAUAUUCAUGGGAAGAUGCUUUGGAAAGUCUAAAAAAGAUUGGCAGGAAUGAAAUGCAAAAAAAAUCAUACUCAAUUCUAGAGUGGAGUUACAACCAGUUACGUGAUAACGAGGCAAAGUCAUUUUUCUUGCUAUGUGCAAUGGUUGCGGUACGAAAUGAAGUUUCACUCAAAGACUUGUUGAUAUAUAGUUUCGGCUUGGGUAUACUUAGAAAUAUGGAUACUUUGGAGAAAGCACGUAAUAGAUUGUAUUCAUUAGUUGAUUACCUUAAGGACUCUUGUCUAUUGCUUGACGGUGAUGAUGAUCAAUAUCCCAAAAUACAUGAUAUUGUCCGUGAUGCUGCUCUCUGGAUUGUUCGGAAAGAGCACCAAGUUUUAUCAGUAACAAGUGGAAGUGAGUUGAAAGAAUGGCCCGAGAAGGAUUUGUUAGAGCAUUGCCCCAUGAUUUAUUUCGGUUUCCACUCUACUUUCCAUGCUGGGCUUCCUGCGAAGCUGCAAUGUCCAAAGCUAAAAUUGUUUAUUCUUGUAAAUAAUGAUGAUGAGCCACUUGAAGUCCCAGAAAAUUUCUUUGAAGAGAUGAAAGAACUCAAAGUGCUGGAUUUAACCGAUUUUGGUAAUCUUUUACUGCCUCCAUCUUUUGUUUCCUUGACGAAUCUUCAAACAUUGUGUCUGGUAAGUUGCGCAUUCGCAGAUGAUGAUGAUGUCCUGGGUAAAAUCGGUGAGCUACGGGGUUUACAAAUUCUUAGUUUGGCACGCUCUAAUGUUGGAAAAUUGUGCAAAGAAAUAGGACAGUUGACCUGUCUGCGAUUGUUGGAUUUGAGCCAUUGCUUUAAGCUUAAAGUUAUUCCACCGAAUGUCUUAUCGAAUUUAAGCAGACUAGAAGAGUUGAACAUGGAGCGUAGCUUUAAAAAUUGGGAAGCCGAAGGAGUCACAGAUGAAAGACGCAUCAAUGCUAGUGUCUCAGAGCUAAAGCACUUGUCUCAGUUGACCACAUUGAACGUAAGUGUUGAGAAUGCUGACGCUUUGCCGACAAACUUAUUCUCUGAUAAGUUAGAAAGAUUCCAAAUAAAUGUCGGUGGUGAGGAUGUUUUAAGGGAUUAUCUUGACAAUGAAACCUCAAAGAAGCUAAGACUCAAACUCACAAGAAGCGAUCAAUUGGAUCAAAGUGUUAAAAUGCUUAUAAGAAAAUCUGAAAGUUUGUACUUGGAUCUGGUGGAAGGAGUUAGUAAUUGUAUUCCUCAACUGGACAGUGAGGGAUUUCCUCAACUGAAGCUUCUUGAAUUCCAAAAUCAUGCUAGUGAAAUGAAGCAUAUUGUUGAAUCAAUCAAUUGUACUCAUUCUGCCUUCCCAAGCUUGGAGUCACUAGUUUUAUUUAAUGUCUCCAGUGUGGAAAGUAUAUGUUAUCCUCAACUUGGAACCGACCCUUUUGGGAAACUAAGGACCAUACGUGCUCACUGGUGCAGUGGAUUGAAAAAUCUUCUCCCACUUUCUAUGGUUAAUUGCUUCUUGAAGCUUCAAGAAAUGGAAUUGAGUCACUGUGACAUCUUAGAAAAGGUUUUUGUUGCAGAAAAAGAAAAAGGAGAUGAGAUUUUCAUUCGUCAAGACAUGGAUCCCACUGAGUUCUGUCAAUUGCAGUUUCUGACUCUGAGAAAUCUACCACAGUUUAUUGGCUUCUCCUCUAUAGGUGGCAGGGUAGAUGAGAUCCAUAAUAAUUCCGCACCACUUUUCAAUCGGAAGCUUAAAUUUCCAAAAUCGUUGGAGGAGUUAAAAAUGGAAGGGCUUGAUAGAAUUACGAGCAUAUGGCCUGAUUAUGACUCCAAACUUAUAAAAUUAUCAGCCACUUACAAACAGUUGAAUAGCUGUCGAAAUCUGCGUAUAAUACGAGUUGAUGGAUGUGGGAGUCUGAAAUAUGUUUUUCCAGCCUCCGCCGCUAGAGGUCUUGAGCAGUUAGUGGAGCUGAAUGUAACGAAUUGCAGGUCCAUCAAAGAAAUCAUUGCAAAAGAAGAAGGUGAUGAUGAUGCUGAUGAAAUCAUCAAGUUUGUGUUCCCAAAAGUAAAGAAACUUCGGUUACGAUAUCUGCCACAACUUGGGAAUUUCUAUCCAGGAAUGCAUACUUCCAAGUGGCCGUCAUUGACUUCGAUGGAGAUUAAUAAAUGUAAGAAAGUGGAGACUUAGCAUCCGACAUUUCAACCUUCCAUCAUCAACAUGAUCAAACCACUACUAAUCCUAAUCCUCUCUUUUUUAUUGAAAAGGGUUCAUUCCCCAAGUUGGAAAGCUUGGAAGUGACCGCCGAGGAGUAUUUGUGUGAUCCGUUACUCACUCAUGCAGAGUCGUUUCCCAGACUAAAAGAAGUCAAUUUGUUUUGCAUGCAUGUUAAAUCAGCUGUAUUCCCCUUUGCUUCUCUUCUGAAAUUACCCGCUCUACAAGAUUUGAAGUUGCAGAGUGCAUUUUUUAAGGAAAUAUUCAUGGUGGAGCAAGCAUCAGGACUUGUUAAUGGGGGAUUGACAAAUUUAGGCCUUUGGAGAUUGCCUGAGCUGAUGCGUCUGUGGGACGAAAACUUGCUGGCCCUGCAGCACCAAGUAGCUGCACACCUGGUUUUCCCAAAUAUGGAAAAUUUGUGGGUAAAGGAGUGUCGCCGAUUAAAGGAUGUAGUUCAGUUCGCCAUAUCCUUCCCCAAUCUAAAAGCUUUGGAACUGUAUGAAUGCGACGAGCUCAAUUACUUGUUUACAUAUUCUGUAGCAACAAGUUUAACGAAACUGGAAUCACUCGUGAUUAAAUAUUGUAAAAGAAUGACAGAAAUAAUAUCAGUGCCGAGCACUAGUAAUGGAGAUGAUGAUGAGUAUGAUCAGACAAUUACUUUUGGGAGACUGGAACUUUUAGAGCUUCAUGAUCUACCGUGUCUUGCAGGCUUUUGCUCUGGAAAUUCCAUAAAUGUGAAAGUCCCAUUCUUACAGCAUUUAAAAGUUACAAAUUGCGGACUUGAGAUGAAGAUUUCCCCUGAUGAAAUACUUGUAAUCAAUGACUCAAAAUCUGCAGAAAGAACCCUACAUAUAGCUGAAGAAGAAGAAGAAGAUGAAGAAGAUGAUGAUUAUAUUGUAUAUGAAUCGAUCUAGAAUGGAUGAAGGUGACUGAUUUAUAUCUUUUA